rnacentral:rRNA from 1 species
UACGUAGGGGGCUAGCGUUGUCCGGAUUUAUUGGGCGUAAAGAGCGUGUAGGCGGCCUGAAAGGUCAGCUGUGAAAACUCGAGGCUCAACCUCGAGACGUCGGUUGAAACCAUCUGGCUAGAGUCCGGAAGAGGAGUGUGGAAUUCCCGGUGUAGCGGUGAAAUGCGCAGAUAUCGGGAGAAACACCUAUGGCGAAGGCAGCUCGCUGGGACGUUACUGACGCUGAGACGCGAAAGCGUGGGGAGCAAACAGG